rnacentral:rRNA from 1 species
ACGAACGCUGGCGGCGUGCCUAAUACAUGCCAGUAGAACGCUGAAGGAGGAGCUUGCUUCUCUGUAUGAGUUGCGAACGGGUGAGUAACGCGUAGGUAACCUGCCUGGUAGCGGUGGUUAACUAUUGGAAACGAUAGCUAAUACCGCAUCAGAGUAGAUGUUGCAUGACAUUUGCUUAAAAGGUGCAAUUGCAUCACUACCAGAUGGACCUGCGUUGUAUUAGCUAGUUGGGGGGGUAACGGCUCACCAAGGCGACGAUACAUAGCCGACCUGAGAGGGUGAACGGCCAAAAUGGGAAUGAGAAAAGGCCCAAAAUCCUAAGGGGAGGAGCAAGAGGGAAACUUCGGAAAAGGACGGAAGGCUGAACGAACAAAGACGCGGGAGUGAAGAAGGUUUUCGGAUCGUAAAGCUCUGUUGUAAGAGAAGAAAGAGUGGGAGAGUGGAAAGUUCACACUGUGACGGUAUCUAACCAGAAAGGGACGGCUAACUACGUG